CCACAAGUGCUUCGUUCGAGUCGAGAACGUCAAGGGUUCGGUCUGGACGGUGAAUGAGAUGGAAUUUGAGAAGCGACGGGGACAGAAAGCCAGCAGGCCAGCUGUACAGGAGGGGACGUGCAGGAAGGCUGUACGCAAGACCCAGAGAUGAUGGAGCGCCUGCCCAUCCUACUGUCACCGAGCUGGGAAAGGACACAGGAAGACUGAUCCCCUCUGCCUGGAUAUCCAGCCUGUGUUCCUACUGUGGGCAGCGAGCGAUUGGGAAUCUGUGGUUCCACCAGAUCAAGAGGACAGAAAGCUUUUGGAAUAAAUAAUGCUGCUUUCACUGAG